rnacentral:rRNA from 1 species
AAUCCGGUUGAUCCUGCCGGACCUGACUGCUAUCGGAUUGAUACUAAGCCAUGCGAGUCAUUGUAGUAAUACAAGGCAGACGGCUCAGUAACGCGUAGUCAACCUAACCUAUGGACGGGAAUAACCUCGGGAAACUGAGUAUAAUGCCCGAUAGAACAUUAUGCCUGGAAUGGUUUAUGUUCCAAAUGAUUUAUCGCCGUAGGAUGGGACUGCGGCCUAUCAGUUUGUUGGUGAGGUAAUGGCCCACCAAGACUAUUACAGGUACGGGCUCUGAGAGGAGUAGCCCGGAGAUGGGUACUGAGAC